CGGCCAGAGGCUCCGACUUGGCCCCGGCGCUGCACCGGCCUGCGGUCCCUGUGUGUGGGCCUCGGUUUCCACGGGAGGUUGAGUGCAUUCUGCUGUGCGACCCUCUGGGGGCGGCAGGGGGCGCCCCCGGCCCACGGGAACGCGCUCGGGGGGACAAAGAGGGUGCGCGACAGCCAGAAGCAGCUCUGACAGGGCCACCGGCUCAGCCUAGUGUUGGGGACACAGGUCAGUGGAGCCCAGCUUGGCAGCAGGUUCCUUUGCUCUUACCUCAUCUGCACCUGCUGGCUUCUGGACAAGGAGUGGGAUCACGUGGCCCAGGAGGAGCUCGGCACAGAAAUCCCACUGGGCCCUGGAAACGCAGAUGUGACAAUGGACAAGAUCCAUCUGAAAGUUUUGAAGAGAAUAAAGGAGGAGUAAAGAUGUAUAUCAAAGAAACUGGAUGUGGCUCUACCCUAGAGAAUAAGAGAAUCUUCCUGAAGAACUUCCCAAAUAAAAUACCUUGUUUUUCUUCGUGGAAUCUGAUCCUGCUGUUUGGUUUCUGAUAAAUACUCUAUCGAAAGAGGGAAAGUUCCCUUUUAUACUUUGUUUAUUGAAAACUGCUUUUAAAAAAUGUGGAAUGGAUGCUGAAUAUUAUUAAAUUCCUUUUUAGUCCCAUGAACAUAACCAAAGCUUCUCUCUUUUAGAUUAUUAGUGUCGUAAAUAACACCAAUAGUACUAAUAUUGAACCAGCCUUGCAUUCCUGUAUUCUUGCAUUGUAUUGGCACUUUAUUCUUUUCCUGGCCUACUGGAUUCAUCCUGCUAAUAUUUUAUUCAGGAUUUUUGUUAUUUUUUCACAAGUAAAUAUUAG
rnacentral:lncRNA from 1 species